AGAGUUUGAUCCUGGCUCAGAUUGAACGCUGGCGGCAGGCCUAACACAUGCAAGUCGAGCGGUAGAGAGGUGCUUGCACCUCUUGAGAGCGGCGGACGGGUGAGUAAUACCUAGGAAUCUGCCUGGUAGUGGGGGAUAACGUUCGGAAACGGACGCUAAUACCGCAUACGUCCUACGGGAGAAAGCAGGGGACCUUCGGGCCUUGCGCUAUCAGAUGAGCCUAGGUCGGAUUAGCUAGUUGGUGAGGUAAUGGCUCACCAAGGCUGCGAUCCGUAACUGGUCUGAGAGGAUGAUCAGUCACACUGGAACUGAGACACGGUCCAGACUCCUACGGGAGGCAGCAGUGGGGAAUAUUGGACAAUGGGCGAAAGCCUGAUCCAGCCAUGCCGCGUGUGUGAAGAAGGUCUUCGGAUUGUAAAGCACUUUAAGUUGGGAGGAAGGGCAUUAACCUAAUACGUUAGUGCUUUGACGUUACCGACAGAAUAAGCACCGGCUAACUCUGUGCCAGCAGCCGCGGUAAUACAGAGGGUGCAAGCGUUAAUCGGAAUUACUGGGCGUAAAGCGCGCGUAGGUGGUUUGUUAAGUUGAAUGUGAAAUCCCCGGGCUCAACCUGGGAACUGCAUCCAAAACUGGCAAGCUAGAGUAUGGUAGAGGGUGGUGGAAUUUCCUGUGUAGCGGUGAAAUGCGUAGAUAUAGGAAGGAACACCAGUGGCGAACGCGACCACCUGGACUGAUACUGACACUGAUGUGCGAAAGCGUGGGGAGCAAACAGGAUUAGAUACCCUGGUAGUCCACGCCGUAACGAUGUCAACUAGCCGUUGGGAGUCUUGAACUCUUAGUGG
rnacentral:rRNA from 1 species